UGGGGAAUAUUGCACAAUGGGCGCAAGCCUGAUGCAGCCAUGCCGCGUGUAUGAAGAAGGCCUUCGGGUUGUAAAGUACUUUCAGCGGGGAGGAAGGCGAUAAGGUUAAUAACCUUGUCGAUUGACGUUACCCGCAGAAGAAGCACCGGCUAACUCCGUGCCAGCAGCCGCGGUAAUACGGAGGGUGCAAGCGUUAAUCGGAAUUACUGGGCGUAAAGCGCACGCAGGCGGUCUGUCAAGUCGGAUGUGAAAUCCCCGGGCUCAACCUGGGAACUGCAUUCGAAACUGGUAGGCUAGAGUCUUGUAGAGGGGGGUAGAAUUCCAGGUGUAGCGGUGAAAUGCGUAGAGAUCUGGAGGAAUACCGGUGGCGAAGGCGGCCCCCUGGACAAAGACUGACGCUCAGGUGCGAAAGCGUGGGGAGCAAACA
rnacentral:rRNA from 1 species